AAGUCGUAACAAGGUUUCCGUAGGUGAACCUGCGGAAGGAUCAUUAUAGAAGACUUGCCUCCGGGCAGAUCUCCAACCCGUUGUCUAUUAUACCCUGUUGCUUUGGCAGGCCCGCCCUCGAGGCCGCCGGCUCCGGCUGGCCAGCGCCUGCCAGAGGACCACAACUCUCAAGUUAAGUGUUGUCUGAGUAUCGUUUAAUAGUUAAAACUUUCAACAACGGAUCUCUUGGUUCUGGCAUCGAUGAAGAACGCAGCGAAAUGCGAUAAGUAAUGUGAAUUGCAGAAUUCAGUGAAUCAUCGAAUCUUUGAACGCAUAUUGCACCCUCUGGUAUUCCGGAGGGUAUGCCUGUUCGAGCGUCAUUACAGCCCUCAAGUCCUGUGCUUGGAGUUGAGCGUCGUCGGCCUACGGCGCGCUUUAAAAUCAGUGGCGGUGUCGGAUGAGCCCCGAGCGCAGUAAAGCUCUCGCUCUAGGGACUCUGACGGGGCCUGCCAGAAGCGAACUAUGUCUAAAGGUUGACCUCGGAUCAGGUAGGGAUACCCGCUGAACUUAA
rnacentral:rRNA from 1 species